rnacentral:misc_RNA from 1 species
GAUGAAGAACGCAGCGAAAUGCGAUAAAUAAUGUGAAUUGUAGAAUUCAGUGAAUCAUCGAGUCUUUGAACGCACAUUGCGCCCCCUGGUAUUCCGGGGGGCAUGCCUGUCCGAGCGUCAUUGCUGCCCUCAAGCACGGCUUGUGUGUUGGGCCCCCGUCCCCCCCUCCCGGGGGACGGGCCCGAAAGGCAGCGGCGGCACCGCGUCCGGUCCUCGAGCGUAUGGGGCUUUGUCACCCGCUCUGUAGGCCCGGCCGGCGCCUGCCGACCACCAUCAAUCUUUUUUCAGGUUGACCUCGGAUCAGGUAGGGAUACCCGCUGAACUUAAGCAUAUCAAUAAGCGGAGGA